CUGAGUCUAGGUUCUCUCCCGAGGCCUGACCUUCUAACCCAAUGUCAAAAUUACACCUUGAAUGUUGCUUCGGCGGGACGGUCUCCCCUGACCGCCGGAGGAUUGGUCUCGACCGGUCCUCUGGAGCGUUGCCCGCCGAUGGCCUCUUCAUAACUACUUGUACUAAACCGUGACGCCUAAAAACAUAUCCAUGAAUAAUGGUUAAAACA
rnacentral:misc_RNA from 1 species